UAUGCGGUGGCGUAGUGGUAGAUGCUACGGUCUCCUACGCCGUGUGCUGCGCGGGUUCGAAUCCCGUCCCAAGAG